rnacentral:ncRNA from 1 species
AUGGUUCUCCGAGCCUGCGUACCUAAGGAAAAGGAUCUAUGGUUAUCAGGCCGUCAGGGUUGCUUUGGAAACGAAACAGCCUCCCUUUGGAAAGGAGAAC